GGCACAGUGAUCUUACCAGCCCCCCCUAUGACGGGCCAAGGCAUGAUGCAGUGACAGAUCUAAAAUGGACAUUCCCAUUGCCUACGGAUGUGUUUCAGAAAAAGGUCUUAACCCUGCUGUUUGACCUGCGCGAUCAGUACAAAAAAGCAGAACCUGCCUCUUCAGCCGUG